UUCGGACUGAAAGGAUUUAAGCCGAGAGUCCCUGUAAUAAAGACGCGAAUGCCUGAUUUUGGAAAGACUACUUUUUAAAAAAAAUCCUCUCUCCUCAACUCAGGAAUUUGCUGUCAGUUGUGUGCGUUUCAGUAAAUGAGACUUAAAUUUUGCAUUUAUUCGGAUCCUUUUUAAGCACCCUGGAUCAUUUUUUUUUUUUAAUUUUUGGUAUUGUGUGUGGGCCUUUGGGAACAUAGUUAAAUGAAUGCAAUGUGGGGACUGCUCUACACCUACGAACACAGAGAGGAUAAAACGUCUCAAUUAGUAUGCGGGCUGGGGGUGGGGCGCUUAAUCGGUGGACAGGGGAACUUGUGAAACAGCUUGACAGGAAGAUCUUGGAGAAAACAAAGGCAUUUGGAAGGAAGACAUUGUUUGAAUGUCAUUUCAAAGUUAAUUUAAUUAACGAAGGCAUAUCUGCUGGAGCUGGAAUGGGAUUGCCCAAGGAGAGAUAUUUUAUUUAUAUUUAGCAAUAAGCCUCCGGGUGGAAAAUACUUUAGAAAUUUACUGUGACAUGUGCAUCCAACUUCUUUUUCAUCAGACAGUCCUUGGAGCACCUGGUGAGUCACUGUCAGGCCUGGUGAAACCUAUGUUCUUGUUUAAGAACAUUUCUUACCAAUUAGGAAGUUGUGUGAUCUGGGAAUUUAAAGCCCAGAGGACGCUCCCCAGAGAGGACUAUGGCUUCUAUUCUGGAUUUAAUGCCAACCUCUGACUCACUGCCCUGUCCCAAAGUGCCUGAAUGAAACUUGCCUGAAAAAUCAUUAUUGAAUGAAUGAAGGUGACAAAGGUUUAAGAGAGGUCCUGUGGGUUCCUCAUGUCUGGUCUGUUGCCAACACGGUGUGAUCUGAGCAGGAGAGCGCCCUGUCAACUCCAAACCAAGCUUCAGCAGCCUCCCCCCCUCCCUCCCCCAGGCCAGGCGCACUCAAAUGCCACAACACAAAGCACAGGCUCAAGCUCCUCUCUCUUUCUGUCCCUCCUGUGCUCACGGAGAGCAAAGUUGGAGGUUUUUAUUUAUCUGUUUAGUCAAGCAAGCGGUAAUGUCCCACGCCAGUUCUUCAGCUUUUCAAAAUCAAAUUUUGGAAACAAAUGCUUUUCCAAAUAGAAGAUAAAAAUGGACCCAGCAGUUUUGUUGUUGCUGUUAAUCACUCUAGCUGUAAAUACUUUCCUGAUUAUCCAACAAACGUUAAAUUCAAUGUGGGGAACAAAUUUGUCUAUGCCUUCAGAUAGUUUAUAAUCUAGUUGGUCUGGUCAGGGUGUGAUUGUCACGGUAUGUUAUGGGAGGCAGGAUCUAAUAAAUGUCCUGGGGAAGAACAAACAAAAUGUGAGGGGGAUUCAGUCAAGAAAAGAAUUGAACCAUGUUGUGGGAUUAGGGAAAUGAAAGAAAAAUUCCAUUGCGCAUAAAAUACAUCUCAUCUACUUACAUGUUACCCUGGAUUUUUUUUAGGGUACUUUUUUUUUAACUUUUAUCCCACCUCUGCUAUUCAUUCUGCCCUUGUGCCUUACAUCUUUUCCUUUCAUUUGUUAGCUUCUUUCUUCCCCAGUGGUUUUGCCUGCUAAAAAUAGAUGAACAAUUGGUCUGAAGCUGCAAGGGAGCCAAGAUGAUGCAAAGGCUGUAGAAAAUCUAUGCCAUGGACCAUGAGCUGUGAGCUGACCUAGAUGCAAGAUGACCUAGGACAACAAAAUGCCUGAAUCAUUGUUCCAAGGACACAGCAAUAAACAUAUUUUCCAAAUGUAUUUGAGUAUGAGGUCAGAAAAGAGUUUUGGACUUGUGAACUUAUUAAAUAAAAAUUCUCAUUGAGAAGUAAACAUUAAA